rnacentral:rRNA from 1 species
UACGGAGGGGGCUAGCGUUGUUCGGAAUUACUGGGCGUAAAGCGCACGUAGGCGGCUUUGCAAGUUAGAGGUGAAAGCCCGGGGCUUAACCCCGGAAUUGCCUUUAAAACUGCAUCGCUAGAAUUGUGGAGAGGUGAGUGGAAUUCCGAGUGUAGAGGUGAAAUUCGUAGAUAUUCGGAAGAACACCAGUGGCGAAGGCGACUCACUGGACACAUAUUGACGCUGAGGUGCGAAAGCGUGGGGAGCAAACAGGG